GGGGAAUUUGGANAAUGGGCGAAGCCUGAUCCAGCAAUGCCGCGUGAGUGAUGAAGGCCUUAGGGUUGUAAAGCUCUUUUACCCGGGAUGAUAAUGACAGUACCGGGAGAAUAAGCUCCGGCUAACUCCGUGCCAGCAGCCGCGGUAAUACGGAGGGAGCUAGCGUUGUCGGAUUCUGGGCGUAAGCGCACGUAGGCGGCUUUGUAAGUUAGAGGUGAAAGCCUGGAGCUCAACUCCAGAAUUGCCUUUAAGACUGCAUCGCUCGAAUCCAGGAGAGGUGAGUGGAAUUCCGAGUGUAGAGGUGAAAUUCGUAGAUAUUCGGAAGAACACCAGUGGCGAAGGCGGCUCACUGGACUGGUAUUGACGCUGAGGUGCGAAAGCGUGGGGAGCAACAGGAUUAGAUACCCUGGUAGUCCCGCCGUAACGAUGAUAACUAGCUGUCCGGGGACUUGUCUUUGGGUGGGCAGCUACGCAUAAGUAUCCCCUGGGAGACGGCCCAAGGUAAAACUCAAUGAUUGCGGGGCUGCCAAGCGUGAGCUGUGGUUAAUUCGAAGCAACGCGCAGAACCUUACCAGCGUUUGACAUGGUAGGACGGUUUUCAGAGAUGGAUUCCUUCCCUUCGGGGACCUACACACAGGUGCUGCAUGGCUGUCGUCACCUCGUGUCGUGAAAUGUUGGGUUAAGUCCCGCAACGAGCGCAACCCUCGCCUUUAGUUACCAUCAUUUGGUUGGGUACUCUAAAGGAACCGCCGGUGAUAAGCCGGAGGAAGGUGGGGAUGACGUCAAGUCCUCAUGGCCCUUACGCGCUGGGCUACACACGUGCUACAAUGGCAACUACAGUGGGCAGCAAUCCCGCGAGGGUGAGCUAAUCUCCAAAAGUUGUCUCAGUUCGGAUUGUUCUCUGCAACUCGAGAGCAUGAAGGCGGAAUCGCUAGAAUCGCGGAUCAGCANGCCGCGG
rnacentral:rRNA from 1 species